AUUGAACGCUGGCGGCAGGCCUAACACAUGCAAGUCGAGCGGAUGAAGGGAGCUUUCUCCUGGAUUCAGCGGUGGACGGGUGAGUAAUUCCUGGGAAUCUGCCUGGUAGUGGGGGAUAACGUCAGGACACGGGCGCUAAUACCGCACACGUCAUGAGUGAGAAAGUGGGGGAUCUUAGGACCAAACGCUAUUAGAUGAGACUAGUGCGGAUAAGCUAGUUGGUUGGGUAAAGGCCUACCAAGGCGACGAUCCGUAACUGGUCUGAGAGGGUGAUCAGUCACACUGGAACUGAGACACGGUCCAGACUCCUACGGGAGGCAGCAGUGGGGAAUAUUGGACAAUGGGCGAAAGCCUGAUCCAGCCAUGCCGCGUGUGUGAAGAAGGUCUUCGGAUUGUAAAGCACUUUAAGUUGGGAGGAAGGGCAGUAAGUUAAUACCUUGCUGUUUUGACGUUACCAACAGAAUAAGCACCGGCUAACUUCGUG
rnacentral:rRNA from 1 species